rnacentral:rRNA from 1 species
CCUACGGGUGACAGCAGUGGGGAAUAUUGGGCAAUGGGCGCAAGCCUGAUCCAGCAACGCCGCGUGAAGGAAGAAGGCUUUCGGGUUGUAAACUUCUUUUGUCAGGGACGAAGCAAGUGACGGUACCUGACGAAUAAGCCACGGCUAACUACGUGCCAGCAGCCGCGGUAAUACGUAGGUGGCAAGCGUUAUCCGGAUUUACUGGGUGUACAGGGCGUGUAGGCGGGGAAGUAAGUCAGAUGUGAAAGCCACGGGAUUAACCUGUGGACUGCAUUUGAAACUGUUUUGCUUGAGUGCUGGAGAGGCAAGCGGAAUUCCGUGUGUAGCGGUGAAAUGCGUAGAGAUGCGGAGGAACACCAGUGGCGAAGGCGGAUUGCUGGACAGGAACUGACGCUGAGGCGCGAAAGCGUGGGGAGCAAACAGGAUUAGAUACCCGUGUAGUC